AAUAGAUACCCGGGUAGUCCACCCCGUAAACGUUGGGAACUAGUUGUGGGGUCCUUUCCACGGAUUCCGUGACGCAGCUAACGCAUUAAGUUCCCCGCCUGGGGAGUACGGCCGCAAGGCUAAAACUCAAAGGAAUUGACGGGGACCCGCACAAGCGGCGGAGCAUGCGGAUUAAUUCGAUGCAACGCGAAGAACCUUACCAAGGCUUGACAUACACCAGAACACCCUGGAAACAGGGGACUCUUUGGACACUGGUGAACAGGUGGUGCAUGGUUGUCGUCAGCUCGUGUCGUGAGAUGUUGGGUUAAGUCCCGCAACGAGCGCAACCCUCGUUCUAUGUUGCCAGCACGUUAUGGUGGGAACUCAUGGGAUACUGCCAAGGUCAACUCGGAGGAAGGUGGGGAUGACGUCAAAUCGAUCAUGCCCCUUAUGUCUUGGGCUUCACGCAUGCUACAAUGGCCGGUACAAUGGGCUGCGAUACCGUAAGGUGGAGCGAAUCCCAAAAAGCCGGUCCCAGUUCGGAUUGAGGUCUGCAACUCGACCUC
rnacentral:rRNA from 1 species